UACGUAGGCAGCAAACGUUGUUCGGAAUUACUGGGCGUAAAGAGUGUGUAGGCGGUUUUGUAAGUUUGGUGUGAAAUCUCCCGGCUUAACUGGGAGGGUGCGCCGAAAACUGCAAGGCUUGAGUGCUGGAGAGGGAGAGCGGAAUUCCUGGUGUAGCGGUGAAAUGACGUAGAUAUCAGGAGGAACACCGGCGGUGUAGACGGCUCGUCUGGACAGUUACUGGACGCUGAGACACGAAAGCGUGGGGAGCAAACAGG
rnacentral:rRNA from 1 species